rnacentral:tRNA from 1 species
GCGCGGUUAGUGUAGUGGUUUAACACGUCCACACAGUAAAUGCGGAAACCCUAGGUUCGAAUCCUAGACUGCGCA